AAGAAUGCACCAAAACCAGGCGGUACUAUCUCCUUGGGGGAGACAUCUCCUCCUCUUCCUCUUCACGCCGUCACUAAUGGUUUCUUCAGUGGCUGACUCGGAUUGGAUCUAUGCUGAUGAGAAUAUUACCGACCGCGUCCAAGUCUUCGAUCUCUACCCAGGGGACAAUGUCAACUCAUCGGCCAUAGUUAAGCUGCUUUUCAACGAGUCUUCAAUACUGCCCCCUUGCACCGUCUGCUUCUGGAUGUGUCCAGCAUAUUUCAAUACCACUUCAAUACCUUUCACUCUUGCCAGUCCAAACUUCGUUUUUU